rnacentral:lncRNA from 1 species
UUUCCACGGAGUGUUUGGGCGGAAGACAGGCUGCUGGAUUCUCUUAUACAGAUGCCAACAAGAACAAAGGCAGCACCUGGGGAGUGGAUACACUGAUGGAGUAUUUGGAGAAUCCCAAAAAAGUACAUCUCUGGAACAAAAAUGAUCUUUGCUGGCAUUAAGAAGAAAGGAGAAAGGGCAGACCUAAUAGCUUACCUCAAAAAAAAAAAAAAGCCACUAAUGAGUAAUAGCUACUGCCUUAUUUAUUACCAAACAGAAAUGUCUCUUGGCUUUUUUAUGUGCACCAUAAUUUAAUUGAUGUGAUACACCAGAAAUCAGAUCAUGAAUGACUGAUAAAAUUAUUUCUGUUGGACAAUCCUGAU